UUUCUACCGAAUGCUCUGUCCAAGUCGCAGCAGAGUCUCAGCCAAGCCGGCUGCAGCAGUUCCAGCUCUAGUUCCUGUCUCGAUAGCACUUCCUCGCAGCUGCUGAAGACCACCAAACUGCUGGCCAAUUUGGACUGGUGCACGGAUGUGGUAGGCAAACAGCAGAAGAAUGGUGGCGGGAGCAGUGGAAGCAGCAGCAGCACCAUCGGGGAUGGCAAUGGGAAUUCCGGCAGUGCCGUUCGGAGUAUCGGUAGCGUGGAGAAUGUGUCAAUCAAGUAAUUCGUGCCAGUCACAUUUAGUUACACACCCCCGCAGGGUAGUUUUAAAUCCAUUUGGAAUAGCAGCAGUGCCGGCACCGCGACCAACAACUCCAGCAAACACCAUCACCUGAUUGCAUCUUCUAGUCAAGCCUCUGGUAAGCUCCUGGGAAGCAGUGCUAAUGGCGGCAGUUUGAACAUGAACGGUGGCGGCGGUUUCGGUGUCCACACCGUGGUGCUCUCGGAUCUGGACUCGAGCGACGAUAAUCAUCUGAGCUUCUUAGAACCGAUAAUCACAAUAAUCCUCUGAGCAAAAAUGGAUCCGAAAUAUUCGACUACGAUUGUGAUUACGAUAACGAAGAGGAGUUCAACUAUCUGGCCCGCGCUGCAACUGCCGUAGCAGCAUCGACCAGUGCCACCAGCUCUUGCACUCCCGGUGGGACAAAUGCGGCUGUUUCUGCUGGAGUUCGCAGCGGUAGCAGCAAAAAUCGUGUUUCGUUCGAUGCCAACAUAAGUGAUUUCCAGCAAGUUCCUCUUAUUGGAGACUUCAAUAUGGAUGGAAGCGGCCUGCUGAAAACCCGAAGGUCCAACAGUCUUACCACGACGGCGAGCAGUGCAUGCGGACUUUCGGUUGGCGAGCUGCAUCAGCAAAAGCAUAACAACGAAUAUUUAUCAGCGGAAAAUCUAACUAACCUGCAGCUUCUGCAGAAUAAACCGAGGAAUUUCUCCUAAACCAUGGACAGUUCUCGUUCGUCGGUACAGUGUGCUACUGCGAAUGAAAUGAUUAAUGGCUGGCUACCAGGGCCUGACACAAGCUCCCUAAAUUUCUGAGGACCAUUCCACCUAAAUUUCCGGUGUCACCGUACAACCAUAGUUCCCACCGGGGUUGGUUACCCGAGGCUCCCUAAGGUUGCUCGUACCCCGGCCAGCACCACGGGAGGUAUAGGGAUAGGCGUUGCUGAGAAAGAGGCUGAGAACCGCGAGAUGGAGUCUAUUUUAUUCCUUCAGGUACGCAAAGCACCAACGGUACAAUGGUUUUAAUUUAUAAUUAAAUUUUCAAUUAUAAUAUAAAAUAAUCUGUAUAAA